AACGAACGCUGGCGGCAUGCCUAACACAUGCAAGUCGAACGAAGCCUUCGGGCUUAGUGGCGCACGGGUGCGUAACGCGUGGGAAUCUGCCCCUUGCUUCGGAAUCACAGUUAGAAAUGACUGCUAAUACCGGAUGAAGUCUUCGGACCAAAGAUUUAUCGGCAAGGGAUGAGCCCGCGUAGGAUUAGGUAGUUGGUGGGGUAAAGGCCUACCAAGCCGACGAUCCUUAGCUGGUCUGAGAGGAUGAUCAGCCACACUGGGACUGAGACACGGCCCAGACUCCUACGGGAGGCAGCAGUGGGGAAUAUUGGACAAUGGACGCAAGUCUGAUCCAGCAAUGCCGCGUGAGUGAUGAAGGCCUUAGGGUUGUAAAGCUCUUUUACCAGGGAUGAUAAUGACAGUACCUGGAGAAUAAGCUCCGGCUAACUCCGUG
rnacentral:rRNA from 1 species